rnacentral:ncRNA from 1 species
UGGGAGCUAUUCCCGGCUGAGAUGGAAGCGAAUCGCAGCUCCAGUCCCUUGACCUGAUCCGGGUAAUGCCGGCGUAGGGAGUGAACGAU